rnacentral:rRNA from 1 species
GACGUAGGGAGCGAGCGUUGUCCGGAUUCAUUGGGCGUAAAGCGCGCGUAGGUGGCCUCGUAAGUCCGCUGUGAAAGUCAAAGGCUCAACCUUUGAAAGCCGGUGGAUACUGUGAGGCUAGAGUACGGAAGAGGCGAGUGGAAUUCCUGGUGUAGCGGUGGAAUGCGCAGAUAUCAGGAGGAACACCAAUAGCGAAGGCAGCUCGCUGGGACGUAACUGACACUGAGGCGCGAAAGCGUGGGGAGCGAACAGG